UACGUAGGGACCAAGCGUUGUCCGGAAUCAUUGGGCGUAAAGCGCGCGUAGGUGGCCAUUUAAGUCCGCUGUGAAAGUCAGAGGCUCAACCUUUGAAAGCCGGUGGAUACUGGAUGGCUAGAGUACGGAAGAGGCGAGUGGAAUUCCUGGUGUAGCGGUGGAAUGCGCAGAUAUCAGGAGGGACACCAAUAGCGAAGGCAGCUCGCUGGGACGUUACUGACACUAAGGCGCGAAAGCGUGGGGAGCGAACAGG
rnacentral:rRNA from 1 species